UUCUAGUAGUGUGUCCCCUCUGUCAUGACCCUGGGGGUAAGAGUGGAAAAAAAGGAGGGCUUUGUUCCGUUAUUCAAAAUGAUGUUUUACAAGUCUAUUUUACCCUCCGUCCCAUAAUGAAGAUGAAUGUGGUUUCAUAUAUUACGGUGUUAAUAAUGUUGGUUCAUGGUUUGGCACUCAACAAUGGGAAGAGGGUUGUGAAGAUGAGCUAUGGCGGCGUGAAAGCUACACCAGAAGCGGCGGCGGCGGAUAUGGGUCCAUUAUAUGAGCAAUCAUUAAGAACAGUAAGAGGGUUACCACCGUCUCCCAAGCCCAACCACUUACAUCAUCAGUUUGUUCCGGCUCCACCGCCCGUACUCUCCGGCGUCAUGGGAUCAAAGCUGUUUCCACGCCCACCACCACCGCGCCGCCUACUACUUUGAAUCUCUAAAAUAUUCUUGUGAUGCUAUAAUAUAUGCACAAUCUAUAAAGUGCCACUAAACAUCAUUUUGAUGUAUUCCUUAGAAUGCAUAAUUUGAUGCUAACAAACAAUAAAACAAUAUAAAUUUGGUGUAUUUUAUAUUUAAUGAAGAUAUUUUUUAUUUUUA